rnacentral:rRNA from 1 species
GGACGGGUGAGUAACACGUGGAUAACCUACCUAUAAGACUGGGAUAACUUCGGGAAACCGGAGCUAAUACCGGAUAAUAUAUUGAACCGCAUGGUUCAAUAGUGAAAGACGGUUUUGCUGUCACUUAUAGAUGGAUCCGCGCCGCAUUAGCUAGUUGGUAAGGUAACGGCUUACCAAGGCAACAUGCGUAGCCGACCUGAGAGGGUGAUCGGCCACACUGGAACUGAGACACGGUCCAG